rnacentral:rRNA from 1 species
UACAGAGGUCUCAAGCGUUGUUCGGAUUCAUUGGGCGUAAAGGGUGCGUAGGUGGCGCGCUAAGUCAGGUGUGAAAUCUCGGAGCUUAACUCCGAAACUGCAUUUGAUACUGGCGUGCUUGAGGACUGGAGAGGAGACUGGAAUUCACGGUGUAGCAGUGAAAUGCGUAGAUAUCGUGAGGAAGACCAGUGGCGAAGGCGGGUCUCUGGACAGUUCCUGACACUGAGGCAGCGAAGGCCAGGGGAGCAAACGGG